GGGUGGCGGAUUUGUGUUUCCACUUGAUUUCCUCGGUUGUUUUCCAAACGUGGUAGCAGUAUCCUGAGGGGCGGGGUGGAGGCGGAGAAGCCACCGGAAGGCGCCAUAGCCCCACUGCUGCCUGCCUGCCAUGUGACUUGGCUGACGACAGUGCUGCGUGGAAAGGCCUAGAGGCUUCCGUCCUGGGCUGCUGGACAAGUGGGUGGCGUUGACCAAGGCACUGGGCCCACAUGGACUGCGCCCCCGCGUGAUCCGUUGUCUCCAAGCAGGCUGCCCCCGCUUGGGUCGACCCUUUGAUCCUUGUUCUCUGCACAGCCUGUGUCGGGAGUCCACCUGCUGGACUGCGUAGUGAAGUGUGCGCAUGCCUGGUCCCCUUACACUGUUUCCAUCGGUGGCCUUCCCUGCACCGGGCUGGUCUCUUGACACCACCCUAAGGGCCUGAAGAGGCUUCCACGGAGAGAAGAGGGUGCCAAGCCCUGGGGCUGCCUAAGGGCCACCACCUGUGGCCUCGGGUUGCUGCUAAUGCCCAGGCCUGGCCCGAUUCCCCCUCGGCUGUGUCUCUGCAAACCCGGCCAGAAGACUCACUGAGUGACGAUGACCUCAGCUGAGUGACCCCUCUCUGCCCUCUGAGGGAUGAAUUCAUAUCCCCGCUCCCCCCACCAACCAGCCACCCCUCUCUGAAGCAGAGUCUCACUAUACAGUUCUGGCUGUCCUGCAAUUUACUUUGUAGACCAGGCUGGUCUCAAACCCAGACAGAUCCUCCUGCCUCUGCCUCCCAAGUGCUGGGAUUAAAGGCCUGUGCCAUAGUGCCCGGCUGAAUUCUCUUUUUUAAUGCACCCACAAACCUGCUCAGUGGGUGUGGCUGUGCCCAUUGGAAAGUGAAGCUUCGGGAAGCCACCGACGGGCGGCCCAGGACUUAAGCUCUGCUUUUUGGGAGCCAUUUGCAGCAAGGUGCCACGGCGAGAUGGGACUUCGGGGGUGCGUGUCCUUAGACACAGUCCACAGGAGGACUUCAUGCUAUGGGGCCGAGGCAUUGUAGGUGAGGUUUGCCCUGUACAGUUGCUGUUCAGGGGCCUGUCACCUGCCUGCCACAGUGAGCUCACCUUACACACCUACUAGGUACAAUUCCCACUCUUGGCACUUAGUAGGUAUACAUAAACACCAACAGCAAGGAUUGGAUGAUGGUGGGAUGGCUACCCAAGAAGGAGGGGCCUGUGGAAGUCAUCUCCAAAGCUUCUAUGCUCGAGACCUCCUGUAAAGCCUUACCCAUGCACAGCACAGACCACACCACCCCUGCUCCAGGCCUUGGUGGACCCCUGACAUCUUCCCUUGCUUUAGCCUUCACAGCUGGGCUCCCGACCCUCGCUUUUGACUUCUGUUCCCUCGUCUCCUUGGCUCUGUCUGCUCCUGCCCCGUUGGCACCCUGCCCAUUCCUAAGCUCAGCAACACAUUCCGUCUUGGGGCCUUGGCAUGCGUUGGUCUCUGUCUAGAGCAGUCUUCUUCUAAGCACUCUUCCUUUCAUUCAGAAUCAUCGUGAAACGUCUCACUCCUUCAGCGGUGUCCCGGCCCCCCUCCUCCUCCACCUCCUCCUCCUCCUCCACCUCCUCCUCCUCCUCCACCUUUUUCUCGACAGGACCUGGCACUUAUUCUGUAGCCCAGGCUGGGCUAGAACUUGAGAUUUCCCUACCUUAGCCUUGGAGUCCUGGGAUGGUGGGCUCCCAAUGACACGCCUGUGGCGAUUUUGUUCUCAUGUGACCUCCCUCCCGCUUUCCCUCUAGCCUGCUUCAGGGUUCACCACACAGCCUCAUGUUAGCUCGUAGGUGUGUCUGGUGUCAUAGGGGCGCUGGAUUCGCAAGGGUAAAGUCAGUCCAUUUGCCCAUGGCCGUAGCCCCAAGGCUGGAAAGGUUGAGGACCGGGGGCUCCAUCAAUGUUGGAAGAAGGGAGGGGGGAGGAAGGAAAAGGACCUUUUAGUGCCCCUGCCUUGUUAUCGAUGUGGCUUCUAGAAGCCUGGGCACCAAGACCAGUACGUAGCAGGUGGGGUAAGAGGAAAAAGCUGCGCUGGGAUUAAAGAAACUCAGAUUUGAAGAACUUUCUACAGCAGCGUGAAGAUGGAAGGUGCUUCGUCGUCGUCGAGGAGAGAUAAGUUUCCCUGCAGCAAGAAGCGGCCCGGCAGCCUUGGAACUGGGUGGCGAGGCCCUGGAACGUGAAGGCCUUCCUCAUAGCUCGUGCAGCCAGGCCGAGGCAGGUAGAAGCCCGUCUGUGGCUCGUCCCCAGGCCAGAGGCCGCUGGGAUUUGGCCAAGCGGCCAUGUUGGGAGUGUGACUCUGCAAUUGAGGGCCGGGAGGCAGGAAGUCCCACCGCUCUGGACCGUAGCCCCCUCCAGCGCUAGCCUCUCCCUACCUCCCACAGUGGCCUCGGGCCCCUGUGCCCGCGCCCAUGGGGUUAAAUCUCUCCCUGUCUCUCUCUGCUCCAAGUUGUUUUCCAAGCGAGGCAGAGAAUGGUUCUCUUGUUACCAACAUGGCUUCUGGGCAUUGGGUAAUGCGCUCCCUCUUCUCCCUGCCCCGUGUCACAAAGGGACCUUUUGUUCCUCUCCCGGCCCCUCUCUCUGGCUCUCCUCUGCCCCCCACCCACCCCAGCUCCCUCCUCCCCACGCCUCCUGCCCUACUCUGCUGCACCCCUGGGCUGCAGGAGUGACCGUGGCCUGGCCGUGGUGCCCUCCCUCUCCCAGGGCGCCCUGGGAGGAGAAGGGACCUUGGCGGCCUCGGCGGCCAUUUUGAAAACGGCUCGCCUAGGCGGUCCGCGGCCUGUGAGAGGCUGCCGGCAUUGGAGGAGCCGCUCGGGGAAAGCCUAGGGCUCGAGUUGAUGUCCUGAGGCCCACUUUCUGCCUCCAGGCGGGAAUGGGACCCUCUUCUCCCAAGCCUGCAGCCCGGGCUGCGUCUGCGCACCGGGACAGGGUAGCUUUUCAGUCAGCCAUCUCCGUUCAUCUACACAGCGGCCUCCUGAGGCGAGGAAAUUGCCCUGGGAAGUGCAGACCAGGACUCAAAGGGGAUGUGUUGGUGUCAAGGCCUCGGUGUGCAGGUGCUGCGCUUGGGGCCAAGGCACAGGCGACUCCCAGCAGACCCCUCUAGAGAGGGCAACACGCACACUCGGUCUGGCCAAAACCAAAUUCCCCGGCACUUUGCAAAAUGAAACAGGACGUGUCUGCGAUGGGGAUGCCAGGAAGCCGGCCAGACAGUGAAGUGUCUGCUCUCUGGGAAGGUUUUGUCACUGUCCCCUCCCACAGCCACUCUGUGAAUCGGGCCGGGAAGGACUGAUGAUAUCACUUUUUAAAUGAGGAAACUGAGUCACCGGGAAGCUCCACAGUCGGGUCUUCUUGGAUCUCACUGUUCUGUCUUCAGGGCUACCGCCUGCCCAUGCCCAAAGGGUCCAGAGCCUGGAGGGAGAUGGGCAGAGACAUUUAGGCGAUCACAGCCACCUGGCCACGUCUAGAAUCGCAGAAGCCGUCGUCGCUCUGAGGAGGCUGGGCUCGGCCACCAGAGCCCUGCACUUUAUCAUGCACAGGGGCUGGGAGAAUGCGUGUGCGCCCUUCUGUCUCUGCUGGGCUUGCGUCCCAGGGAGGCAGAGGCAAAGGCAACCAGGAGCUCCAGGACUUGGUGGAUGGGAGGUGAAGGACAGUGGGAGAAUGAGGAGAGACCCUGAGUUGAGCAGCUCUCCCGUAGCCCCCAAAUGAGUCUCAUGCUGCUAGUCAGGGCGCCUGCACACACUGAGGGCUCCUGCUUCCUGUCUGGAAGCUGAGGGGGAAGGCUGCCUGGAGGAGGUGACGGGUUAGAUUCUAGUGAAGGCUGAGGUAAGGAACAUGGAGGAGCUGCUGCUGUGGAGAGGCAUGAAGGAGAUGGUGGGGUGGGGGAGCGUGUGUGCUGUCCCGUGUGUGCUGUAGUGGAGUGUGGGCAGGGAAAAUGAGGGGUGGGCAGAGGCGAGUUGCCACGUGAGCCCAGAGGACUAGAGAAGACACAUGUAUCCUGAGGGCAGAGGAAAACGUAAUGAUCUAUUUUGUGUUUGCUUAUUUAGGAGACAGAGUCUGUGUAGCUCUGACUGUCCUGGAACUCUGUAUAGACCAGGCUGGCCUCCAACUCCCAGAGACCUCCUGCCUGCCUUUGCCUAAGUUCUGGCAUUAAAGGCCUGGCCCUAACUACUCACUGA